rnacentral:rRNA from 1 species
GGAUUGCAGGCUGCAACUCGCCUGUAUGAAGUCGGAAUUGCUAGUAAUCGCGGAUCAGCAUGCCGCGGUGAAUACGUUCCCGGGCCUUGUACACACCGCCCGUCACACCACGAGAGUUUGUAACACCCGAAGCCGGUGGAGUAACCAUUUAUGGAGCUAGCCGUCGAAGGUGGGACAAAUGAUUGGGGUGAAGUCGUAACAAGGUAUC